ACUUCUAGUGGUAUCUACUGGACACCAGUAGAAACCAUUAUGACUCCAAUAAAUUUAGUGGUUUCUUUGGAAAACUGUAAUGGUCUUAGUGGGUAGGCUACUGCUGAAAAAAAAUGAACACACAAACAAUAGAAACUAUUACAAAAUUUGCGGCAGCCCAACCGUCAAGCAGCUGAUCGCUGACACUCAAUGUGGUUUCACUUUUUUUUUAGGUAAGUUUAGUCUAUUAAAUUACACAAAUAGUACAUUAAAGUGUUCCUGACACUUUAUUUCAUGUAAAUUAUACACUUUCGUUUAAUAUUUACUUUAUAGAAAUGGUUUAGCGUCGUCAGAAAAAGUCCGUUAGCAUCUCAAAGAAGUGGCAGAAAAAAACCUCUAUGACGCAGGAGAAGUUCCUGAUUUUAACAUUUCUGAAGGGAGCUGCUGACAGAGAGGAUGAAAACAUACACAUUUUGAUGUCCACGCUGUAGGAGCAUUACUAAAUAAUGCUUAUGUUCCUAGGUUCUUCCAUGCUGAUGGCUGUGCUCUAGAGUCAUAUCUCCUGUCGAAGAACAUUUUUAGACAUUAUGAACCAUGAAUAAGUUUAGCUCCAACCCCAGUUAAGCAGACCUAAGCAGCUGAUCAAGGAUCAGCAGAAACUCUGCAGAACAUUGGUCCUCCAGCCCAGGACUGGACACCAGUGUUAGUGUCUGUCUCAGAAGCUGAAGAAAAAAGGUCACACCUUAUAGGAAAUAAACGCCUCCUAAGUGUACGGAAAUACCUGGAUGAGGAGAUCAGUGACAUAAACCAGAUAAAACUGUCAGUGGUCUGAGACAGCUACAAGCCACAAAAACAGUUCAUAGUUCCUGCAUUUCUAUAAUGCAUUAAUGAAUAACAAUAAUUAAAAUAAAAUGUAAUGUCAAGGUUUUGUGUUAAUUCCAGCUAUGUUGAGUAUUCUGUGAAUAAUUUUGAUUUUAGGUGCAUAUUCUUAAUUCUUUGCAAAACAACCUGAACUGUUUGCUAUUGAAAGGUUGGUAUGAAGUUUAAAUAAAUAAAAACAUUAUAUUCUUGACAAAACCUGUGUACAGUUUGUAUUAAUAAUUUAAAUUAUUUACUUAUAUUAAUUAAUGGCCUAAUUACCAGCUAUCAGUUAAACAUUCAAAUCAGAACCAAUAUAAAAGUGCAACGAAAACUAUUAAAUAUAUGCAAAUAAAGACCAGUACAAACUUGCAAUGGAACCAUCAGAACCAUUACAAAACUGACGGAAACCAUUAAAUUUGUUUUAAUAAAGACCAAUACAAACUUGUAAUGGAACCAUCAGAACCAUUACAAAACCAACAGAAACCAUUAAAUUUGUUUUAAUAAAGACCAAUACAAACUUGUAAUGGAACCAUCAGAACCAUUACAAAACCAACAGAAACCAUUAAAUUUGUUUUAAUAAA